GUGCUCACUUUGGCAGCACAUAUACUAAAAUUGGAAUGAUACUGAGAUUAGCAUGGCCCCUGCGCAAGGGUGACAGGCAAAUUCAUGAAGCGUUCCAU
rnacentral:snRNA from 1 species